UCCUUCGGGAUUAAUAAAGUAUUCUGAUUCUAAUUCUGAUCUCAUGUGAUAAUUGUGAUGAUAAUAAUAAAAUGAUGUCAUCUCCUCACAGCUCAAACGUGGCCUCCUGGUGAGUCGUGUUGAGCAAAAGGAGGAUCACGUUCUGGUGUACUUAGAGGAGUUAUCAAAGGACACAGCCAUCAACCACAGCUUAGAGAUCAUCCAGGAGCUCCCAGUGGACAACCUGAAGCCAGCUGUGGUCAAGAUCUAUGACUACUACCAACCAGGUGACCAGGCUGAGACCCAAUACAUGUUUGUCUCGUGAGCUGCAGUUUGAAGAAGCUGUGGCUGGUCCUGAGGUUUAAACCUGCAUUUGAAUAAAGAUACUUUUUCUGCUCA